AUGACAUCACCGAGCGCGGGGCCCAUGCGCCGCCGGCCGGCCCGGCCCCGCCGCCCCCGCCCGUCGCCUCCCCGUGCGUGCGUGGGGCGUGCCGGGGGCAGGGGCUGCCGCGCCCGCCGCCGCCGCCGCCGCCGCUCGCCCGCCGGAGCGCCCGGGGCCCCGCGCACCUCCCGCCCCCCUUGCCUCCGCGGCGGCGGCAGCAGGAGCAGCAGCAGCGGGGCAGAGGAUGGCGGAGAGCGAGGCCGAGACCCCCAGCACGCCGGGGGAGUUUGAGAGCAAGUACUUCGAGUACAAUGGGGUGCGGCUGCCGCCCUUCUGCAGGGGGAAGAUGGAGGAGAUCGCCAAUUUCCCGGUGAGGGACAGCGACGUCUGGAUCGUCACCUACCCCAAGUCAGGCACAGGCUUGCUACAGGAAGUGGUAUAUCUAGUGAGUCAGGGAGCUGAUCCAGAUGAGAUUGGACUAAUGAAUAUAGAUGAACAACUUCCAGUCCUAGAGUACCCUCAGCCUGGUCUGGACAUCAUCAAGGAACUGACAUCUCCUCGCCUCAUAAAAAGCCACCUACCAUAUCGGUUUUUGCCUUCAGACCUCCAUAAUGGCAAUUCUAAGGUAAUAUACAUGGCUCGCAACCCCAAAGACCUGGUGGUGUCUUAUUACCAGUUUCAUCGCUCCCUAAGGACCAUGAGCUACAGAGGAACGUUUCAGGAGUUCUGCAGAAGGUUUAUGAAUGACAAGUUAGGAUAUGGUUCGUGGUUUGAACACGUCCAAGAAUUCUGGGAACAUCAUAUGGAUGCCAACGUACUUUUCCUCAAGUAUGAAGAUAUGCACAAGGACCUAGCAACAAUGGUUGAGCAACUGGUGAGGUUCUUAGGAGUUUCUUACGACAAAGCACAGUUGGAAUCCAUGGUGGAACACUGCCAUCAACUCAUUGAUCAGUGCUGUAACGCAGAAGCACUUCCCGUUGGCAGGGCACAUUUACUCUGAAGAUAAUCCUGAGCUGCUAUGAAAGCAGAACAAUGAUUAGAUAUGUUACUUAUAUUUGACUCAUAUCACAUCAUAAUUUACACAGUUGCAUGAUUCAAAUCAUAAACCAGGCCGAGUUGGGCUAUGGAAGGACAUCUUCACUGUUUCAAUGAAUGAGAAAUUUGAUUUAGUUUAUAAACAGAAGAUGGGAAAAUGUGACCUCACAUUUGAUUUUUAUUUAUAAAAAAUGCAUGCAUAUGAUAUCCAAAUAUAGCUAGAAGUGCUUUAUGCAUUCAUUUAUUACUUGCUGGACAGACUACUGUAGCUAUUAUGUGUAACAAGAUUUAAAGAAAGGAGAACAAUCUAAGUAAACCAUAGCAAAUGCAAUUAUCUUUGAUCCUACACAGCUGUUUAUCUUUUAGUAUUUUAAUCCUUUGUCCACAUGGAAAAACUUCCUAGACAAUACUAGAAUACUCAGCUGUUAUGGAAUGUAUUAUAUGCGUAUAAGGUAUGUAUCAUAUAUGCAACUAGAAUGUACACCUUUUCAGCCCCACAUUGAUUAUUUAAUGUGUUUUAUAGAAGCUUUUCACUAAAACCUAAAUAAAUGUCCAUAAACCAAAUAAAAAUUAUUUCAGAGGGAAACAAGUAACAGGCCAAAACUGUAUGCUAGAAUGAUCUCAGGGGUUAAUUGUCACAUUUAUUUUUAUAGCUGGUAUAUCAAGUACAAAUAAAUCCCAUUCCAAAAGAGUAACUGGUCAAAGCGGGGUUCCCAUUAAGUUCUGCACUCUUUUAUCUGUAUGACUUACGAGUGGGUUCUGUGUAUUGCCAUACUGUGCAAGUCAGGCCCUGUUAUGAAAUACAGCUGUGAUUGUCACUGCAGCCCAAAACUCACCCAUGCUUUCAUGGAUAACAGUAUGCAGCUGUUUUUGUGGUGGGUCAGCAAAUAGGAGCCUCUCAAGCUCCCAAGGCUAGUCCAUGCCUUUAAAAUGCAACUUAAAUGCAAGGCAUCUAGUGCAGAUGUCUCUCUUGACAAAUCAGCGUCUCUGACACGUAUCAGUUUCCUGUGUAGAUAUGAACUUCACCCAAUGGAUACAGUAACAGAAGGCAAGGUGCUGGCUAUCCUCUAGUUCUACCAAAAUCCUGAAAGUUAAGGGCACUCAGCAUGGUUCACUGUUUGUACUUUUGGAUCCCAUCACACCUAAGUGGAAGAUGGAUGUAUGUUCCAGUGCAAGUCAGCAGAGGAAACAGCAGCACUGAAGGAAAGAGUUUAAAAAUAUGCCACCAGAUGGGAGUAUUGCACAAAUAUUCAUGCAGAAUGCAGUCUCAAGAAUUAUUAGCCAUGAACAGUCUGGAUUAUUAUCAAGAUUCAAGUUUAUUUCUGUACCUUUAUUUUCUAUAACAGUUGCACAAACAGCCUGAAACAGGCUACUAUCACAACAAAAUUCUCCAGAAUUAUUUUAUCAUUGUUCCUUUACUUAAUGACAUCUAUGUUUUUUAGGUUCUCAGCUGCAGGAGGCCCAUUUUUGCUAGUCUGCUAUUCUGUCGCACUAAAAGCCGUGAGGAAGGACUAGCAUAUAUUUAGUGUUUUAGUUAUGUUGGGAAACAAACUGUCAGUUCAGCAACUGACAAGUGGUGUAGCAUGAUGUGGCUUGACAGCACUUUUCCUUGUAUAUUUGUGAGUGAAAAUGCUUUCAGUGAAAUUUUAUUUCUAUUUUUAUAUUUUUAGUACUGUAUGAAUAUUAAGCACUACACAUUAUACUUCUGUGCUUGCUUGCUUAUUGAAUAAAAGAUGUGUUCCAUG